rnacentral:rRNA from 1 species
GACGAACGCUGGCGGCGUGCCUAAUACAUGCAAGUAGAACGCUGAAGGAGGAGCUUGCUUCUCUGGAUGAGUUGCGAACGGUUGAGUAACGCGUAGUUAACCUGCCUGGUAGCGGGGGAUAACUAUUGGAAACGAUAGCUAAUACCGCAUAAUAGUAGAUAUCGCAUGACAUUUCCUUAAAAUGUGCAAUUGCAUCACUAUCAGCUGCACCUGCGUUGUAUUAGCUAGUUGGUGAGGUAACGGCUCACCAAGGCAACGAUACAUAGCCGACCUGAGAGGGUGAUCGGCCACACUGGGACUGAGACACGGCCCAGACUCCUACGGGAGGCAGCAGUAGGGAAUCUUCGGCAAUGGACGGAAGUCUGACCGAGCAACGCCGCGUGAGUGAAGAAGGUUUUCGGAUCGUAAAGCUCUGUUGUAAGAGAAGAACGAGUGUGAGAGUGGAAAGUUCACACUGUGACGGUAUCUUACCAGAAAGGGACGGCUAACUACGUG